UGCCAGCCGCCGCGGUAAUACGGAGGGGGCUAGCGUUGUUCGGAAUCACUGGGCGUAAAGCGCGCGUAGGCGGACCAAUCAGUUGGGGGUGAAAGCCCGGAGCUCAACUCCGGAACUGCCUCCAAUACUGUUGGUCUUGAGGUCGAGAGAGGUAAGUGGAAUUCCUAGUGUAGAGGUGAAAUUCGUAGAUAUUAGGAAGAACACCAGUGGCGAAGGCGACUUACUGGCUCGAUUCUGACGCUGAGGUGCGAAAGCGUGGGGAGCAAACAGGAUUAGAUA
rnacentral:rRNA from 1 species